UACAGAGGUCUCAAGCGUAGUUCGGAUUCAUUGGGCGUAAAGGGUGUGUAGGUGGCGCCGUAAGUCGGGUGUGAAAUUUCGGAGCUUAACUCCGAAACUGCAUUCGAUACUGCGGUGCUUGAGGACUGGAGAGGAGACUGGAAUUCAUGGUGUAGCAGUGAAAUGCGUAGAGAUCAUGAGGAAGACCAGUGGCGAAGGCGGGUCUCUGGACAGUUCCUGACACUGAGACACGAAGGCCAGGGGAGCAAACGGG
rnacentral:rRNA from 1 species